CAGCCGCCGCGGGAAUACGAAGGGGGCUAGCGUUGCUCGGAAUUACUGGGCGUAAAGGGAGCGUAGGCGGACAUUUAAGUCAGGGGUGAAAUCCCAGAGCUCAACUCUGGAACUGCCUUUGAUACUGGGUGUCUUGAGUGUGAUAGAGGUAUGUGGAACUCCGAGUGUAGAGGUGAAAUUCGUAGAUAUUCGGAAGAACACCAGUGGCGAAGGCGACAUACUGGAUCAUUACUGACGCUGAGGCUCGAAAGCGUGGGGAGCAAACAGGAUUAGAUACCCGCGUAGUCCCUGUCUCUUAUAC
rnacentral:rRNA from 1 species